CAAAAAUAUCACCCUGAAGCUCCACAGCCAGCAGACCAUUCCUGCUGCUCCCGGCCCCGGGAUGGGCACUCUGCCUCCUGCCCAGGGAGAGGUUUGAGGGGAAAAAUGACAAGAAAGGGAAAUAGGAGCAGCAGGGAGCCAGCACUGAGGGACUCGGUACCUGGGAGGAAGGAGCACAGUCCCUGCAGGUUUCCUGGGUGUGGAUCAGUUCUGAGGACAGGGAUUGCUGCAUGGAAAACACCUCAACUCCAGCUGGGCCCAAAUCCUGCUGACAGGAAGGAAAGCCACCAAAUUUCUGCAGAAUCCCACUCUCCCAGGGUUGUUCUCCCAGGAUCUCCAGGCCCUGCUGGCAGCCAGAGCAUCAGCCCAUGUUGUGCCUGUUGCCGUAGCCCCGGGGGUGUGUGUCCUUCCAGUCGUCCCAGUCCCGAGCUUUCCGAAGAGCUUCCUCAUCAUCCUCCUCCUCCUCUGUCUCCUGCUGCUGCUUCUGCAUCUCCUCAUCACUUGUACCUGCUGGAGGAGAGGGACACGAGGAGAUGCAGCUUCUCCAAAGCCCUGCUGGGAGCUGGGCUUGCCAGACAGCAGGAGGGAGAACCUUGGAAUGGGCUGGGUUGGAAGGGAUCUUAGAGCCCAUCCAGUGCCACCAGGAACACCUUCCAUGAUCCAGGUUAUUCCAAGCCCUGUCCAACCUGGCCUUGGACAGGCCAAGCACAGUCUACCCCAGUUGUUUUCCUAAUAAAGCUUGGAUUCUUCCACAGUCAGAGGUUCCAUACCCUGCACACAUCCUGGUUCACCCAUCCCAAGAGGCUUCCCAAACCCCCUGCUCCCACCUCUGUUCCAUACCUGGAACCCUCUGUGGGGUGGACACAAUUCCCUGCUUCCGGCGCUGCUCGUACCAGUCAUCCACAGUCAUGGUGGGCAGCCCGGGAUAGCCGGCUCCAAACACCCUGCAGAGGGACAAAACCAGGCAAUGAAAUCCCCUGGAAUGAGCAGGAACACAGGCAAGAGGCACAGGGCUGUUCCAUGAUCCAGUCUGUGCUAAGGAUGUCACAAGGCAGGCUUGAGGGGUGACCCAACUGUGGCCUUCCUGUGCCUGAGGGAAAGAUGGACAGGGCCUGGAGUGGCAGGACAAGGGAAUGGCUUCCCACUGCCACGGGGCAGGGUUAGAUGGGAUACUGGGAAGGAAUUCCCCCCUGGGAGGGUGGGGAGGCCCUGGCACAGUGUGCCCAGAGAAGCUGUGGCUGCCCCAGGAUCCCUGGAAGUGUCCAAGGCCAGGCUGGACAGGGCUUGGAGCACCCUGGGACACGGAAAGUUGGCCCCAGGACAUCACUGGGAAGUGAAGCAGACACAUGGAAAGCUCAGCACAAAUCAUGUGCCAAGCAUGACAGGAAUUUUGGUUUCUCUCCCAUUCUGUGCUUUAGAUGCUGAAAUUCCUGCAUUCUGCCACAAACUCAAGUGCAGACAUGAAGGUACCACCUGGAUUUCUGCACUUGAUGGAAUAUUUCAGGCUUGACAUGACAGCACUGCCCCAAAGUGUGUUUGCAUCAUCCCAAUCCAUACCUGGCCUGAGCAGCAUCCCGGGUGAGGAUGAAGGGUUUCACUGGAGUUCUGGCUGACCGGGAAGGGCCACGGGGACCUGCUGGAGCCUGGGGAUGCAAACAACAGUCACCAGGGAAUGGAGGGGAUCAGAAUCCCCCCUCUGCUCCCCAUCCUGAAGUUAUUAAAGGUCUUGUAGAGGAGAAACACCUCAGCUGUCAGAGCAAUGCUCCAGCAUGGAAAAUCCAGGCCUGAAUUUGGUUUAAAUCGGGAAUCCCAACUGUGCCUGCACAGGAAUCACCUCCUGUGCCUGUGUGCCACCUGCUGGGGUCAAAGCAGAGCUGCCAGGGCUGAGCUCUGACCACAGCAGGAAAUGUUAUUUAUUCUUCCAGUGGAACAUUCUGAGCCCAUCAUUCCACGGACACCUCGGAGGAGCUGAGUCCUGCAGUGCCAAAACAUGACCCCCUAAACCAGCCCUGCCAAAACAUGACCCCCUAAACCAGCACAUCAGGAUUUCUGUUCCCAGGUCACAGAAAUCCUGGACACGUUUCUGCACAGGCAUUGCAGGUCUGUGGCAGUGUUCUGUCAUUCCAAAUGGGAAUAACACCUGGAGAAGCUGCAGACCAGGAAUGGAAGCUUGACAGAAACCACAAGGGUCUUAUUUUAAUUUCCAAACUCAACUGCUCUUCAGAAUUAAGGAUCUGCAGAAAAGCCUUUGCACAGCCUAGCUCAGCUCUGAUAUUCCAGGCUGCAGCAUUCCACAGGCUGGGAUUGUGGCAGAGGUGUGGCAGCAGAGCCCAACCCAAACCCCAGGAUUCAGAAUGAAGGAAAGCCCAUCAGCUCAUGCUGUGAUCGAGCACAAUUCCAAUGGGAAGUCACUGAAUAAAACUCUGGAUUCCUCUGGGAUUCAUCCCCUCGUGCCCAGGAGAGCUCCCUCACCGGCCUGGCUGCAUCCCUGCUCUUCAGGAUCAGCAGCUCCUGCUCGAUGCUCUCCAUCUCCUCCAGGCUGGUGGCGAUCCAUUUCUGGAUCUGCAGGAUGUAGAAUUCCCGGACCUGAUCCUCAUCCGCUGUCCCGCUCUCCACGGAGCUGCUCAUGGAGGCCAGCUUGUUCUCCAGCUCCUUCUUCUGUUUGUACCUGGCUCAAGCACAGCAAAAUCACAUCAUGGAAUCAUUUUUCUGCAGCACAGCCCAGCCCUGGGGUCUUCACCACCCUUUCUAAGAGGAUCAACCAAAUUCCAUGGAAGUUGUGCUGGCUCCUGCUGGAAUUUCAGCCCCUCCUGUCAGUUAAAAGCAGCUGUAAAGUUACAUUUAAUUCAGAGGGGCCUCAAUGAUUUUAUUCUCCUCCUAAACAUUGAGGAAUCCUUGGAAAUUGAAGUUUUCCUGGUAAAACUGGGCAAGACUGGGAACAUCAGUCUCCUGGAGAAAGCAGGACUGAGAAAAUCAAUGGAAUGCCUGGUUAGGGUUGAUUCCAUGUCACACAAACAGAAUAAAACACUUUUCCAA